rnacentral:rRNA from 1 species
UAUACAGCCAUACUGCCCUGAAUGUGCCCCAUCAUGUCUUGGAAGCUAAGCAGGGUCAGGCCUGGUAGUACUUGGAAGGGAGACACUACUGAAGCACAGAGCCAUUGUGGUAG